AACGAACGCUGGCGGCAUGCCUAACACAUGCAAGUCGAACGGGAUCCUAGCUUGCUAGGUGAGAGUGGCGGACGGGUGAGUAACACGUGGGAAUCUGCCUUUUGGUUCGGGAUAACCGCGGGAAACUGCGGCUAAUACCGAAUGCCCUCGAGAGAGGAAAGAUUUAUCGCCAGAAGAGGAGCCCGCGUCCGAUUAGGUAGUUGGUGGGGUAAAGGCCUACCAAGCCGACGAUCGGUAGCUGGUCUGAGAGGAUGAUCAGCCACACUGGGACUGAGAUACGGCCCAGACUCCUACGGGAGGCAGCAGUGGGGAAUAUUGGACAAUGGGGGCGAACCCUGAUCCAGCAAUGCCGCGUGAGUGAUGAAGGUCUUAGGGUUGUAAAGCUCUUUUGCCAGGGAAGAUGAUGACUGUACCUGGAGAAUAAGCCCCGGCUAACUUCGUGCCAGCAGCCGCGGUAAU
rnacentral:rRNA from 1 species